rnacentral:rRNA from 1 species
UGGGGAAUCUUGCGCAAUGGGCGAAAGCCUGACGCAGCGACGCCGCGUGAGGGAAGAAGGCCUUCGGGUUGUAAACCUCUUUCAGGAGGGACGAAGCUACUCGGGUGAAUAGCCCAGAGGGUGACGGUACCUCCAGAAGAAGCCCCGGCUAACUACGUGCCAGCAGCCGCGGUAAUACGUAGGGGGCAAGCGUUGUCCGGAUUUACUGGGCGUAAAGAGCGUGUAGGCGGCCAAACAGGUCCGUUGUGAAAACUGGAGGCUUAACCUCCAGACGUCGACGGAAACCGUAUGGCUAGAGUCCGGAAGAGGAGAGUGGAAUUCCUGGUGUAGCGGUGAAAUGCGCAGAUAUCAGGAAGAACACCAAUGGCGAAGGCAGCUCUCUGGGACGGUACUGACGCUGAGACGCGAAAGCGUGGGGAGCGAACAGG